CGGACCUCUAAUCGGAAAAGACUACCCGCUGAGUUUAAGCAUAUCAAUAAGCGGAGGA
rnacentral:rRNA from 1 species